rnacentral:rRNA from 1 species
GACAGAGGGUGCAAACGUUGUUCGGAAUUACUGGGCAUAAGGCGCACGUAGGCGGUUCGUUAAGUCAUGUGUGAAAUCCCUCGGCUCAACCGAGGAAUUGCGCCUGAUACUGGCGGGCUAGAGAUCGAUAGGGGUGAGUGGAACUCCAGGUGGAGCGGUGAAAUGCGUAGAUAUCUGGAGGAACACCGGUGGCGAAAGCGGCUCACUGGAUCGAUACUGACGCUGAGGUGCGAAAGCUAGGGUAGCAAACGGG